AAGAGCAGUCAACGCCAUGGAUGUUUUGUUUACGAACGUGCUGGCAGACAUACUGCUGCUGACAUCAGCAGAGAUUUAGCUUGUCAGCUGACAUGUGUUCUGGAGAUGCUAACUUCUUAGCGUUGUACAUGAUUAUUAGUAUUAAUAUUUUAAAGAUGUCGAGUGCAUUGUGGAGGUCAACCAUUAAUUUAACCGACAGCUUCUCUUUGAAGCGGCUGUAGCUAGGUAGUUCCCCUGAACAACCGAAGCUAGUUUUAGCCUAUCUGUCACUAGCUAGUUAGCUAGCCCUAUGGAGGCUAUUCGAGUGCUAGCUAAGCUAUACAAAUAGGCCAGGUAAGUUAUUAAUUUAUGAUAUAAAUGUUGGCUAAAUGGCAAGAACCGACCAGGAUAAUGGGCUUGAUUUUAGGGGCAGCACAAAUAAGAUGACAGGUAGUGGUAGCGGUGGUGGGAGUAGUUGUAGUUCGUUUACCUCCGAUGUUGUGACACUGGAGGCGAAUGGCGCAGAUGACUCUUCUGGGGAGAAACAAGUGGACAAGUACGGCUUUACAGGUGGAUCUCAGCAGUACCCAGGCCUCAAUGUUGAAGAAAUCCCCACUGAGGUGCUGAGGCAACGGGAGGCCAAAUGGCUGGAAAUGCUCAACAGUUGGGACAAGUGGAUGGCCAAGAAACACAAGAAGGUGAAAGAGCGCUGUCAAAAGGGCAUCCCUCCGUCACUGCGUGGUCGGGCCUGGCUCUACCUGACGGGAGGCAAAGUGAAAGUGGAGCAAAAUCGGGGAAAGUUCCAGGAACUGGAUAACCAACCAGGUGACCCCAAAUGGGUGGACAUCAUUGAGCGAGACCUCCAUCGACAGUUUCCCUUCCAUGAAAUGUUCUCAGCUAGAGGAGGUCAUGGGCAGCAAGAUCUGUUCCGUGUGCUGAAGGCGUACACGUUGCACCGUCCCGAGGAGGGCUACUGUCAGGCUCAGGCUCCUGUCGCUGCUGUGCUCCUCAUGCACAUGCCAGCAGAGGAUGCUUUCUGGGUUCUCGUACAGAUUUGUGAGAAAUACCUUCCUGGAUACUACAGCACAGGGCUGGAAGCCAUCCAGCUAGACGGAGAGAUCCUGUACGCUCUGCUGCGGCGGGCAUCUCCCGUGGCACAUCGUCACCUCAAGCAACACAAGCUAGAACCCAUCUUGUACAUGACAGAGUGGUUCAUGUGCGCCUUCUCACGAACGCUGCCAUGGGCGUCAGUGCUCCGCGUCUGGGACAUGUUCUUAUGUGAAGGAGUGAAGAUCCUCUUCCGAGUGGGUCUGGUUCUCCUGAAAAGCAUGCUGGGAUCCCAAGAGAAGGUGAAGGCCUGCCAAGGUCUGUAUGAAACAAUGGAGCGUCUCAGGGCCAUACCUCCACAGUACAUGAAAGAGAGUUUUCUGGUGCAAGAGAUCAUAGACUUGCCCCUGUCGGAGAAAGACAUUGAGAAAGAGCACUUGGCGCAGCUACGAUGCUGGAAGGACACCCACGGCGACCUCAAUUACAAAUCGCCUCCCAGGAUGCACGGCGCUAAGGCAGUCAUGGCUGCCGAGCCGCCAAGUCGACAUGAUCUGAGACAGAGGCCCACCAUUAUCGUGGAAUCCCCCUUGGAGGACGCAAGGGAGGACACAAGGAAGGGCAAAAAGGGCAAGCGGAACGAAAUUAUUCCGUCGCCACAGGAGACGGAUAGUUCUCCCUCGCCACUCACUGAGCCCUCGCUGCUCCUCCAACCAGCACAAGGGUCCAGGGAGAGCAUAAGCAGCGCUGAGCAUGACACCUACCUGUAGCAGGGUGAGCACGCCAAUCAAUCCAUGACAGCUUCUUUAUUGUGUAUUUUCCAUUGAAGAACACUAGAUGGCGACAAUGAUGAGCUGUGCAGUCAUAAUGCCACAAGGACAGAAUGUAGCAGGUAUGCUUUUUUUCCAUUACUAAACAUGCUAACUGCUACUGCUGCCAUAGAGGGAGUAUGAUGGUGUUUCAGCAGACAAAUAUGGUCUCAGCCAAUCACCAGCUACAUCAUUAGGCACAUAUUAUUUUAAUGAGAUGCACAAAAACUGUGCAUUUCAGUCACCACUGUGAAAGAAGUAUUCCAUCCAUUCCUUUUCUAUACUGCUUGUUGAAUUUAACAGUAUGUUUAUUACGGCAUGAAUGUUUAUUAUUGGCAGUAAUAUUUAUCUAAAUAAGAAACACAGGAGUGCACCAAGUGGAUGUGACCAGUAGAGGCGCUGUUGAUUAAGUCUAAACUAGUUUGAACACUCCAGCUGUGGGAAUUUGAGCAACUGCACACCCACACUGACCUUUGCUAUAGCACAACUGUUUCAUUCAUUCAUUCAUUUUCUACCGCUUUUUCCUCACGAGGGUCACGGGGGGUGCUGGAGCCUAUCCCAGCCGUCUUCGGGCGAGAGGCGGGGUACACCCUGGACUGGUGGCCAGCCAAUCACAGGGCACAUAUAGACAAACAACCAUUCACACUCACAUUCAUACCUAUGGACAAUUUGGAGUCGCCAAUUAACCUAGCAUGUUUUUGGAAUGUGGGAGGAAAUCGGAGUACCAGGAGAAAACCCACGCAUGCACGGGGAGAACAUGCAAACUCCACACAGAGAUGGCCGAGGGUGGAAUUGAACCCUGGUCUCCUAGCUGUGAGGUCUACGCGCUAAACAGUAGACCGCCGUGCCGCCCACAACUGUUUCACACAGCAUAUAUUUGUCAGUAAUACAUACAUAUCAAUAUGAUGUUGAUACGUUUUUAGAAGAGAAGUGUAAUUACCCAACCUUCCACCUUAGGUGGUUUAGUAACGAGAACAACAUUUUAUUUUGCUACAAAAGUACAUCGUGUCAUAUGUAAAGAUGAAGGCAGAAUACUAAUUAGGGCCAAAAAUCAAAACACUACCUAAUGUACCUAAUGAUGUGGCCAGUGAGCGUCCAGCACUACGCUCUCAUGCACUACAUUACACCACCGGCACAGAUAAAGGAAUUUAUGUUGAGCAACAUUAUUGUGCCACGUUAGCUAAAACACAUGUAGCCUUUGGUGAGUGUAUUUAAUAAUAAUGCAACAGAAGAAAUUACACAACAUUGUCCUGCAAGCACAAUCCUGUUUACCUUUACCGAGCCAUGUGUUGUUGGCGGAUCAUUUGUUUUUUUCUACGUGUUCCAAAUGCAGUCAAAUGAAUGUACAAGUAUUUUUUUUUCAUUGAUAUGUGCUCCGGUUAUAUUUACUUUGGGAGGGAAAUCAAUUCUUCUAAUCAGGGGUAAACAAUCCACUGUAUAAUGAUGAUGUGAUUUAUCUAUACAAUUUCUCUACGUACUUUAUAAAGGGAUCAACUCUGGAAGGUAUUAGAAGAGCAUGUUUCAAUCCAAAAGUGUUGUUGUGCUAAGUCAGGGGUGAAUAGCUUUGUGUUGUCUAUAGAUGGCACCACUGAGCUGUUACUGAAGCAAAUACACUAAUGCUGAUUAAGACAUUACAAAUGAGUGCAAUCAAAUAACAUGCUGCUGGGAUGCUAAAGUAUUUUUCUAUAGAACUGUUUGAUUUUGUAAGUGAGUUUCAAAAAAAGCUCUUUUUUGUAUAUUUACAUUAAGAAAUAAAAUAUUAAGUGAUUAGAUUUUGCAGACCUGAAUGACUGAAUGCCUAUAAAUAAAAACGAGACAAAAAAAGGCACGCACACGGCACAGCCCAAGUUCAAUAAUACACCCUGUGUUGGUUAACAUUCAUCUUCCACCCUCCCUCGCCCUCCGCACUUCCUCGGACACCUGUUUCUCCGGCUCUUUCAGCUCGUGGGGCAAUUUGCAUCUGAAUUAGGACAAAUUCCCACAGCGUUAUCCAGUGCCUUUUAAGCCUCGUUUAGACAUCUGAAUGGAGGCUGACUGUGACUCCAUGAUGGAGAUCAGCUGUGCUACUGCAUGGUUAAGUCUUUAAAUGAAACUUUAUUGAUCACAUACACAGUUGCACGUAUUAAACAUGCUCUAACACACAGGUAAUUCCAGUAAAAUGGUACUGUAUAAUAUAAAAAGUAUAAGAAUGGAGUGCAACGCAACACUUGCCGUGUUUCAUCUCAAUGUGAAGAGAAUCGCCUCCCAGUUAGCCAUGUCCCUUCCUGUCUUCAUCCGUCACCUCAUCAUCAACAGGUGAGUGGGACAUGGGAGUGGUCAUGUUCGACUUUUGCACAGCGCUUAACUUCUUUUUACACUUUUUAUUGCAGUUGUAGGAGCGACUGGGCUUUCAGCAAUCUCUUCCUAAUAGCUUGCUAAGCGCUUCAUGAAAGGGCAAACUCACCCAAGCACACCUUGCUGUGCAUACCGGAGCCUUCCCAACCUUCCCUUCUCUGACCUGACGCUACGUUUUCUUCUUUUAUUGGAGGCACGCGUGGGACAGGAAGAAGAGUGUCUGCAGAGGUCAAAGGUGGCACAGAUGCUCUUUCAGUGCACACUGACCAGGAAGUAUGUGUGAGCCCCUUUUAAUGGUUUUCCUCAGGAUAACGGUAGCGACCCUGCUAGGUGUGUAAUCAUCAUUAUCGUCAGCUCAAAAUCCCUGUUUUUUUUGUUAUUGUUCUAGUAGAAGGGACUUGAAGUGGCCGUGUGCAUGUCAAGGCCUGCAUUAAAGUCAGGAAUCCCCAUAAGCAGGCAAAAAGUGGGGAUUGUGUGGGAUUUAACAUGAGUAUUUCAGCAUAAUUAGUAUGUGAUAUAAUAAUGUCAUAGAAGUAUGUGUUAAUAUAAUUAGAUUCAGUGUGAUUCAGUAAAUCAGUCUCUCAAAAUGAAUAUGAUGCAGUUAUUAACUAUUUUGCCAAGUAAUCCAUCAAGUGAGUAAUUACAAGUAGUCCAGAAGAAAUAAUGUAGUAUUAACCAGAAAUUGAAUAAAAGGAACAACUGUUUUAAGUGAGUCAAAGGUCAUGCAAAAAUAUUGUUGAAGGUCAUAGAGAAGCAAGCCAGCCUUGGGAGUAUAUAUUGUUCGGUAUAUAUUGUUCGGGACAUCGCAUCAGCAAAGAGAAACUUCGUCAAGGAAUGAUGAUUUAUUGUUAAUCCUAUUUUCAUUCAUUCAUUUUCUACCGCUUA